GGAACAUUAAAAAAGUCAUCUUAAGCAAGGUGUCCAGGAGGAAAGAAGUGACAUGGGAGAAUAGUCUGUUCAUCCACUCCUAGAACAGAUAGCUAAACCUGUGUGACUCCCAUUUAACGUCACAGAUCUUCAUCUCGGUCUGGAGACAACACCAGAGGAAUGAUGACCUGGUUACGGAACAGCGGUGUUUUUUCAUGCUUCAAGACCUUGUUCAGAGUGUUCAGCUGUCCAGAAAGCAAGGCAAAGCUGUCCAGGACAGAUGGCCUGGUGGUGGUAACAAGGUACACCCUACACUCCCUCACUGAGACAUUUUCGACAGACCUAAUGCCAGGAGAUCAUUCUCUCAUGUGCACCUCUGUAGCACAUGCACUCCAGCUUCCUCCAUCCUAGCAUCUGUGAGCCUGGCUGUCUUGUCAGUCUCUGGGAAAUCUGCCUACUCAUGAAGACUUCUCUGAACACCAGUCCUGCUCUCCCCUUUCCCUCCCCCAACCAACGACUCCAGCUUUCCAUCUGCUCUCAUCAUUUUGUUUCAACCUUCUCCUUGCUGAAUUAAUAUGCAAUCAUCUAUCUCUGUGUCAAUAUUCCCGUGCCUCUUUCACAAGCUCAGUCAACCCAUUAACAUUUAUUGAGACUACCAGCUGCAAGAAACUAAGUGACAAAUGAAAAACAAAAACCACACAUGCUUCUAAGCACUGGACAAACAAAUUAAAAUGCUGGGGGUCUGCAAAGCA
ensembl:lncRNA MED8-AS1 MED8 antisense RNA 1